rnacentral:rRNA from 1 species
AGUGAACGCUGGCGGUAGGCCUAACACAUGCAAGUCGAACGGCAGCACAGGAGAGCUUGCUCUCUGGGUGGCGAGUGGCGGACGGGUGAGGAAUACAUCGGAAUCUACUCUGUCGUGGGGGAUAACGUAGGGAAACUUACGCUAAUACCGCAUACGACCUACGGGUGAAAGCAGGGGACCUUCGGGCCUUGCGCGAUUGAAUGAGCCGAUGUCGGAUUAGCUAGUUGGCGGGGUAAAGGCCCACCAAGGCGACGAUCCGUAGCUGGUCUGAGAGGAUGAUCAGACACACUUGAACUGAGACACGGUCCAGACUCCUACGGGAGGCAGCAGUGGGGAAUAUUGGACAAUGGGCGCAAGCCUGAUCCGGCCAUACCGCGUGGGUGAAGAAGGCCUUCGGGUUGUAAAGCCCUUUUGUUGGGAAAGAAAUCCAGCUGGCUAAUACCCGGUUGGGAUGACGGUACCCAAAGAAUAAGCACCGGCUAACUUCGUGCCAGCAGCCGCCGUAA